rnacentral:lncRNA from 1 species
AGCAUGGCUUCCAUCACCUACCCCUCCUUCCUACUUUGAUAAAAUACCUAUGACUAAGAAUACAGGAGGGCAAGAGAGAAAAGGAAUGAACAAUUAAUCAUCAUCAUCAUCAUCAUCAUCAUCAUCAUCAUCAUCCUGUGGCCCUACUAAGGGCUGUUUUCUGGGUAAGACAAAUUCUGAGGCUCUGGGUUGAUGGAGGAGAUGGCUAAUAAGGACUUUCCACAUAUCCCAUGUGCUACAAGCCCCGAUGGCAAAAACAGGGGGAGGGGGAGGCGGGCGAGCCUGAUGGGGGAAGCGUCACAGAUCUGCAGCUGAGAGGAUGAGCGGAUUAGCCUGGCAGAGGAGGGAGGACGACGCUUUAGAAAGCCACCUCCAGGAAAGAGCUUGUCACGUUCUGGGGGCCACAGAGAGUUCCGUGCGACUUGGAGCACACAAUGGAGGGGAGGAUACACGAUGCAAGGUCAAACCUAACAGGAAGCAACUUGUCAUCCUCCACAUGCAUGUGUGUUCACGCGGCAGCCGAGGGAGGUGGGCGAAUAAGGAACAUUCGCUCCUUACCUGCCUCAUAGCUCAAACCAGCCUCAGAUCUGAUGCUUCUCCAACACGGAAUAUAGUCCACAUUAAUCCCUGGGCUCUGCAGUGAAACCGGCAUGUGACACUCACCCUUCGCUGCUCUGUCUGGACAAAGAGGCGCCAAUUUCCUACAACACCCUACAUCUAGACGUCUUCCAGAACAUUCCAUCAAGGCUGACAGAACGCAGUCCUAAUGCACUGCCCGUUGGACACUCACAUCAGGCUCCUGGCCACUGUCAGCAGGAUGUGCAUCUGGCUGUCUUCCCGGAUAUGAGAUAGAUUUGUGAUGGUUUGCUGAUGGGUCUCUGACCAGGUCCCCCAUCCUGGAGCCAAGGCUGGUCAGGGUCAGGAAACAGAGCAAGACCAUCUGGUCUGGAGGCUGAGGCCUUUGGCCACUGUGCUGAGAGCUGCCGAGCCAGCUCUCCCCCGUGCAGCUACUGUCCCGACGUCUCUACACAUCUCUCGUGCAGGGUGGAGAUUGUGUGGUUUCCACCCAAGGAAUGGGGGCUGCUCUGUCCAAACUUCAAAAUCUGGGACAGUCGAAAGUGACCUUGAGCAUGGACAGGAAUCUGUCCUGUCCAGACAGUGUCCACUGUACUGACAGCCAGGUGACCUCCCCAGGGGCACUGUGUUGGGGACACUUCUCCUUCUGCCCAUUCCACGGUCCGUGUUAGGGUGUGGAGAGGUGUGCCAGGACAGACGUCUGACAGCCUCAGAAAAAGGUUCAUCCUGGAAGCCGCCUCCAUCCUCUUCCCAGUCUUGGUCCCCAAAGCAGAACCUACAGAAUUCUUCCUGCCCUGAUGUUAGGAUGAAAGCAAGUUUCAACCAGAGUGUUGAAGAAUAGGGGAGAAUGGGAGAAGGGUACUAAGGGAGGCUCCGGAGGGAAGGGUCCUGGGCUUUGGAGUCAAAAGACAUGGAUUCGAGUCCCGGCUCUGUCAUUUACUAACUGUGUGAACUCGACAAGCUACCGAACUCUCCUGAGUCUCUGUUUCCUUACCUGAAAAUGGGAUUAACAAGCUCUCUUUUACACAGCAACAUCCUCAGUAUCAAGUUAAACCACCUAACAAAGAACACUGCUUUGUGAGCUGAUUUUUUUUUAUGCCAAAGUAUAUUCAAUUUAACAUCUAUACUUACUUCUUGAAUGCAUUAUGGUCCCAGGCUAAUGCUUAGAUAAUCUCUUUCCUUAUCUUUUUCUGUACACUAUAAAGCUGGCCUCCCUGACCCCAUCCCUGCAUGUCCAAAUAUGACCCAUCAUUCAAAGCCCAGCUUAAAUCAAUUCCUCUGUGAUUUUCCCUCCCUCUCCACUCAGUGUCUCUCCCUCUCCCUCUCCCUCUCCCUCUC